AAAAAAGAAUUUUUCAUAAAAUCUCGAAAAUAGUUUUGAAAGACGAAUUCUCGCCCUUCGCGUGAGAUUAACCGAAAAUAUUACCCUAAUGUAUGUACGACUAAACUCCUCAUCCUAUGAGCAUGAACACAAAAGAGGUUGACGGAUAAAAGUUCAAUACCCGAUGAUAAAAUGAUCAAAUAAAGUGUGAAAAAAUAGUAAAAGAAAAAAUAAAAAUUAACUCUUGA
rnacentral:lncRNA from 1 species